rnacentral:rRNA from 1 species
UACGGAGGGUGCAAGCGUUAUCCGGAUUCACUGGGUUUAAAGGGUGCGUAGGCGGAUAGGUAAGUCCGUGGUGAAAUCCUGCAGCUUAACUGCAGAACUGCCGUGGAUACUAUCUAUCUUGAAUGUCGUGGAGGUUAGCGGAAUAUGUCAUGUAGCGGUGAAAUGCUUAGAUAUGACAUAGAACACCCAUUGCGAAGGCAGCUAACUACGCGAUAAUUGACGCUGAGGCACGAAAGCGUGGGGAUCAAACAGG